rnacentral:rRNA from 1 species
AUCCAGCCAACAACGACGACGCGUAGGAGAGCUCGACCUUGAUGAGGAAAGCAGCGGGGUUGGUGCAGCAGCGAAGGUCGGGGUCGGCCGUGGAGGGAGGCUUGCUGGCCGAAGCAGCAAGAGCAAGAAGGUUGAGGUGGUUCAGAAACUGAAUGCAUAUAAGAAUCGAGGACCUUCACAGUGGCUUCAUGAUGAUGAUCAUCUACCGAGGCAUCAAGAUGAGCACAUACAUCAUCUUGGACAAGCAGAUGUGAAUUUCUUCUCGCAUCCCGAGUACAUAUGUGAGGCUAUGGGAGUACUUUUUCAUGUGAUGAUGGGAGGAACGAAUUGUACCAUGUGAACAAUCGCUGGUAGUUUUGAAGGUUUCUUCCCAGAGUGGCUUAUUAAUUAUUUGGUCCUGCACACCCUAAUUAGGAUUGGUAUUUCAUUUUUUUGUUCACCAUUUAGAUAUACAUUUUUUGCUUGGCCUGCUGUAUUUUCUUGAAGUAAACACUGUAUUAGCUCUUUUACAGUUAAAAAUGCAUGCUUACAAUAUAUAGCUGCUAAUUUGAUGCUCCAAUCUUUAAUUUGCUAAUAUGAUAUUCAACUAUACUUUCAGGAAUAAGCUGGUCAAUGCAGGAAACUCUGAAAGAAAGCGACUAAAAUCAACAUUUGAAGGUACAUCCUGUAUUAUGUUACUACAGAAAUUGACAUUGUGGUCUGUUAUUGGGAAUCAUGAGUUUCCUGAUAGUGAGACCCAUUAGUAAGAAUUUGUUUAGACAGAAGUUCCUAUAUAGAUGUGAUGUACUGGUGUUUUGAUCCAUUGUCUCACCCAUACUUCACCUAUCUGGAUUAUUUAGCUCGAGCAAUUUGCAGAAUCUUAUACUUCAAUAAGUACAACAAUAUUAAUUUUUGGAGUAGUAGAGUAGUCAUAUAUAGGUAUAUGACGUUAGUCAUGAUCGCACCUAUAUGUUGUGUGGGUUCGGCAUAUCCUAAUUACUGAAGCAAAAAUCAGUGCCAUGAAAGAUUAAUUUGAGAAAAUUUAAUCUAGCAUUUCUUUCAUAUGAACUUAAGGGGAAGGCGCUUAUUUCACAGGCUAAGGUUUCUGUUGGUUACUUCUUCUUUUUGCCCUUCAGUUCAUCGAAAAAUGAAGAGGAUCAUGCCUUUCUGUUGGAAUUGCUUUUCUGGUUUAAGCAAUCAUUCAGGUUAUUGAAAUACUCUGAUGCCUCUUUUCUUCGGUCAUUACUAAUGAUGAGUGUCGUGUGUCUGAUACGGUUUCAUGAGAGUAAUUACCAGUAGUGAGAGCUUUCAGAUUAGGGAUUACGAAUAUGAAGUAGAUGUGCCUUAUAUAUAGACGCCUAACAAUUAAAAAACUAAUACUUAUCUCUAAUCAUCCUUACAUGCAUACAUGCAUGCGAGAUAUCUCUGUUUUCAGACCCUCUCUCUGUUACACAUUUCCAUGAAAAAACAAAAGUAAAAGGGAAAACUCACUUUUGGUUCAUAUGGUGCAGACCAGCAAGCGAUUGUUAAUGAAAGGUUUGAUUUGCAGGUAUACUGAAAUCAAGGUCUUUUAUCUAACUGGUUGGAUAACUACUUUUCAGGUCUAUGCCUUUAACUAAAAUUAAGCAUUUAAUUACUGUUCUGUUGUGUUAUUGAUUUCACCGCUUUUAUGUCAGCCGAUUAGUUCUGAAGGAUUCCACAACGGCUAAUUUAGAUUAUGCAACUUUCGACCAAAAAUAAUUAUUGACAUGUAUAUUUAUCAAGAUCUUUUAUCUAAUUGGUUGGAUAACUACUUUUCAGCUUCAACAUUUGGCUCAUUCUUGUUUUUGGUAAUGUUUUCUUGAUAGUGGAGCAGUCAUGGACCUGUUAUAGAGAUCUUGGUGAAAAACUUGUCACUGCAAUUCAGUCAAAUGGGUGUUGAGAUUGAAGUUUCUGCUUUUGUUGACUUUCUGAUAAAUUACAAAAACAUCGACAAGGUAAAGUUAUGCUUCCUUGCUGUCCGAUGUUUCAUGUUUUUCAUGGUAAAGGAAUGGCAAUUUAUAUGUCUGUAGGUUAUGUGGGAGCCUUUUAUAGAGUCCUCAUGUUUUCAGUUAAAUAUACUUCGAAAAUGUGUUUUUCAUGCACUGGAUGUAUCUCCCAGUACUGUGGUGUCGCUAAAUUCAAGCAAGCAGCUUAAUGUUAACAUAUCAGAGCCCUUCAUCGAGGUACAUGAUCUUGGCAUACUGUAUUUUUCAAACUUGUCAAGAGAUAAAUUAUUGUUCUGUCCUAUCUUCAAGUGAUUAACAUUAUAGUUUUCUGCUGCCACUGUCAUCUUGAUUAAUGUGAUUCAGGAAUCAGGGCAGUGGUCUGCGGAUAGAAUGUAGCUAUAUAUCUUAUCUCGGGGAGCAUCACACCUAUUUAGCUUAGAAGUUUUUUUUCUUACAUUAAACUCAGCAGUGUGUGAUAAUUCGAGACAAGGGGAUUGAUGAUGACACAGACUCAGUCUUAGGGCUUGGCUUCUUACCGGUGGAGAGCUCCUCCAUGUUUAAAAUAGCAUGUUUUAGUUCUGAUUACAACCAUAUAGGUAUUCAUGUAUAAGAUUGUUUGCUUUCAGUUCUGGUUAAAUCAUCUUGGAUGAUCAAUCAAAUUUCCAGUGAUGAUACUCUAGCCUUCAUCGAGGUACAUGAUCUUGGCAUACUGUAUUUUUCAAACUUGUCAAGAGAUAAAUUAUUAUUCUGUCCUAUCUUCAAGUGAUUAACAUUAUAGUUUUCUGCUGCCACUGUCAUCUUGAUUAAUGUGAUUCAGGAAUCAGGGCAGUGGUCUGCAGAUAGAAUGUGGCUAUAUAUCUUAUCUCGAGGAGCAUCACACCUAUUUAGCUUAGAAGUUUUUUUUCUUACAUUAAACUCAGCAGUGUGUGAUAAUUCGAGACAAGGGGAUUGAUGAUGACAGAGACUCAGUCUUAGGGCUUGGCUUCUUACCGGUGGAGAGCUCCUCCAUGUUUAAAAUAGCGUGUUUUAGUUCUGAUUACAGCCAUAUAGGUAUUCAUGUAUAAGAUUGUUUGCUUUCAGUUCUGGUUAAAUCAUCUUGGAUGAUCAAUCAAAUUUCCAGUGAUGAUAAUCUAGCGGAUCAGGCUUCUAAACCACUAUCACUUUCCUGACAGAAGUUGUGCAUGUAGUACAUGUUUUUGGUUUAGCAAAGCUCUUUUUUAGUUAGAGAUCAAUUUUGAAGACUAACAUGUCAUAUGAAUGCCACCAGCUUAGCAAAAGCCUUGAUCUUUCCAAUUUUGUAGGUUGAGGGAAUACUUUGCUACUUCAAAAUCUCCAGAUAAAAGUUGAAGAAUUCGUACGAUAAUCGAUUGGAAACAUAUAUCUAGCAGUUCAUUUUUUUCAUGCGCACAAUGGGAUAAAUUGAUGUAACACAAGCCUUUACAAUUUAGUGCUGUUGUUAUAGAAUCGGGAGACUUGCUUUGUUACCGUACUUAGAGUUGCCGAUUUCUUACUAUAGUAAUAGCCAGGAAGGUUUGUAGUCAACUUAUCUGCAGUUGUAAUUAGUCGACUUAUGCUGCUUAAAUUAUUGUUCUUUGGUGACCAGUGAAUGGGCAAUUGACUCUUGCCUAUAUGGCCGAUCUAAUUGUUCGGAAAAUCUUCAGCACAUUGUAAUACGAAAGGUUUUGAUUUUUUUUCU